GCUGCUUCUCUGAGAUACUUCAUCUACCACUUCUGUCAAGAUCCUCUUUAAAGCUCCCCCGUCCAGUGUAAUUUUUUCUAAUAACGCUCUCCAUGCUGGCUCAUUGCUGUGCUCCCAUCAAUACACUCACUGCUCUCUCUGGGCCUCUGAGUCCUGCCUUGCUCCUGUGAUGCCUUGCCGGCUCCCUGCUACAUAAAAUGGAAUUUUCAGCCCUCACCCGAGUGAACUCCCUGUGGGUUAUUGUCCAAAUCUCUCCACGGGAUAUGAGGCAGCUCUCUCCACUGGCGAGGGAGGAUGGGGAGUAAGAAUGAAGAGGAGAGAAAGAGAAUGAGAGGAGGGCCUCACAGCUGGAGGAGAUGAGAACUAAGGUUCUCAAGCUACUAUUGUUGCAUCAGUCUCCUCUCUCCGUGCCUCUACAGUGUGUGAUGUCUUUCCACUCCAAUGCAACUUUCAAAGCCAAACCAUUUAUGAGAUGUUGUUCCAGAUGUGAUGCUGGGAACUGUGGCAACCGUGAGGGCACUAGUCUAAGGACCAAGCUGACACCCUGCGGAUGGAAGAACCUGGGUCCUCGUGCUGUGGUUAAGCCCUGAGUUAGCCAACCCUAGAACCUUCCCACCCUGGGACUUCUUGUUACAUGAGAUAGUAGAUGUUAUUAUUAUUUGAACCAUGCAAACCAGAGUUUUCUGCUGCUUGUUGUCCAUUGCAUCCUAACUGAUAUCACCUCAGGGCAUCUCAUGGCUCCUUCUCAUCAUAUAAGGGUCAGGACAAAUGUCCCCUCCUCAGAAAGUCCUUUUCCAGCCACCCUAAGGAAAUAACCUGCAAUGUCCCCCUCCUUGCAUUGGUUGCUGUUACUAGCGUGCAUAUCUGUAAUAAUCUUGCUAGGCAGGCUCCCUCACUUGAGUAUAAGUUCCCUGAGAUUAAGAGCAUUAAGAGCAUUCUGUCAC
rnacentral:lncRNA from 1 species